CAAGCGGUGGAGCAUGUGGUUUAAUUCGAAGCUACGCGAAGAACCUUACCAGGUCUUGACAUCUUCUGCCAAUCUUAGAGAUAAGACGUUCCCUUCGGGGACAGAAUGACAGGUGGUGCAUGGUUGUCGUCAGCUCGUGUCGUGAGAUGUUGGGUUAAGUCCCGCAACGAGCGCAACCCUUAUUAUCAGUUGCCAGCAUUCAGUUGGGCACUCUGGUGAGACUGCCGGUGACAAACCGGAGGAAGGUGGGGAUGACGUCAAAUCAUCAUGCCCCUUAUGACCUGGGCUACACACGUGCUACAAUGGACGGUACAACGAGUCGCAAAGUCGCGAGGCUAAGCUAAUCUCUUAAAGCCGUUCUCAGUUCGGAUUGCAGGCUGCAACUCGCCUACAUGAAGUUGGAAUCGCUAGUAAUCGCGGAUCAGCAUGCCGCGGUGAAUACGUUCCCGGGCCUUGUACACACCGCCCGUCACACCAUGAGAGUUUGUAACACCCAAAGCCGGUGAGGUAACCUUUUGGAGCCAGCCGUCUAAGGUGGGACAGAUGAUUAGGGUGAAGUCGUAACAAGGUAACC
rnacentral:rRNA from 1 species